CCUUACUGGCUGUCACUCUCAACAUUUCGAGGCCACUUAGAGUCCUCACUGAAUGGCCCUUUCCACAGCAAGGCAGUUGCUUUUUCAAGGCCAGCAGGAGACUCUCUUUCAUGUUGAAUCUCUUGGACGUUUUUUAGAAAGGAUCCCCUGAUUAGACCAGGCCCACCCAGAAUAACCUCUUUUUAAAAAUUAACACAAAAUUACCCAUCAUAUUCACAGGUCCUGCUCACACUCCAGUAGAGAGGUUUGGGAAGGGCAUGUAUACCAGGGGAUGGGGAUCUUGGGGACCAAAUUAGAAUUCUGCCUACACACCAUGGAUAUAUGGCCUGUCUUCUAACUUGUUUUAAGUACCUCUGGUCAAUCAAAUCUCCUUAAAAUUGCCCCGUAGACCAGCCACACCUCAGUAGCCUUGUGUAUCUGAAACCAUAUGCUCCGUGGCUCCCUCUCUCACUGGUAAUAUGGGCCUCCUUCAGCCUGUCUGAUGGUCUUAUUCUGACCAAUCUGAAAACCUUUAUGUUGAAAUGUAAGGGCUAAUGCUAACUGCUCAACAAUAUUUACACACUUUUUUAAUUCUAUCUAAAAAGCAACGCAAGUUAUUUCUGUAUAGAAGGAAACAUGCAUACUUUUCUGACUUAUACUUUUUAUUUUAAACUAAUUUUAGAAAGCAAAACAGCUUCAUUCAUUUUCUCAUAAAAGUUUUUCACAAAAUAUUAUUCUGUUGAGGCAAGCCAUAAUGUUAUUUGAUUCUGAUUUGUGCCAGAACAUGUUGAAUUACAGACUUAUGGAAGAAGCAAGUUAAACGUAAGAACUUUAUGAAUAAAAGAAAUAGAGGAGUUUUUCAUGCUCCAUAGACACACAGCAUUUUUUUCUGAAGAAAACAAUACCAAAAUGGUAGUCAAAUUUCAAUCUGGGAGGACUUCAUAAAAUGAUUUUGAGAUUUUACAAGGUCAUGACUGGCUGAAUAAGCAUGGCCAAAGAAUACUCACUAAAAGCUAACACUCACCUGUAAGGAAGUUUCCAAAGACAGACUCCAGGCCUCUGCUCUUGACCUUACUUAUCCACACUUUCCUAGGAUGAAGACAUCGAAGGUACAUUGAAGACAAGCCCAAUGGGUUACUUGAUGAAUAGGUUACACGAGGACAUUAGGUUAUAUGACGAAUGCAGGAUUCCAAAUAGCAGGCUGAAGGAACAGGGCAAAUUUAACAAACUUGGUGGAACUCAAUGAUGUUAGGACCUGCACUAUGUCAAAAAUACCUGGGAUCAGAAGCACAUAUGAAAAGAAAUGCAUGGUUUUGUGGGAACGUAGAAUAACCAGCGUUUAAUGAGCUAAGGGCUGGACACCAUACGAAGCACUUCAAAUGCAUUCUUUCACGACUCCUUCUAAUUGCCCUGGUGAUAUGAAUUAAAAGUAAAGCUGCUGACAUCUAGAUUUGACAAUUUGCUUUGUUUACCCAAGGUAAGUAGAUGAACUGAUACUUGUUCCUAUACUAUCUGACUCCUAAACCUCUACCCUUAAUCUGUUUUUCCUCACCACUGCCUAAACUUAGGUUGCAUUUUUCUAAAAUGGAAUGUAAAAAAAAGGAGUUAUUUAUUGCAUUUUUGAACGGAUUCCAAUAUCAUUUCUGGACAUAACACUUGCCAAGGGACACAGGCCAGUUAGAGCAAGUCCAGUGGAGAGAGACGAGGGGAAUGAAGGAAUGCAAGACCAUGCCAUGGAGGAAUGACGGAGGCACGGUUUGGUGGCGCUCAUGGGAGCAGGGCUGUAUUUAUGGUCCAUCAAUCUAGGACCCAGCAUGGUGCACGGCAACAUUAGGCUGCCAGUAAAUGUCUUCAGCUGUGCGCAUGAGUGAACAUUCAGAAAGGUAAUGUCUGGACCAAAGGUGGACUCAGUGGGGUGCCCACGGGCCAGACUCAAGGAAGAACGCCUUAACGGAGAAGCUGCAUCUGGAAUGACCAACCUUGGCCCAGGAGUUCCUGGAUGCGGGUGUGCUCGCUAGGGACCACGAGACUAUUUACCAGAUGUUUAGCAACACUGGCUCACUAUGAGGAGAAGCUGGCUGCCAUGCCAUGGGGACACCCAAGCACCACUAUGAAGACGUCCCAGGGGUGAGGAGUUCCUGCCAAUCGCUAAUCCUCCAGUCCCAACAAAGUAUUCAGAUGAGCUUGCUCUUGGCCAACACUUUGCCUGAAAUCUCCCAAGAAAACACCCACUAAGCUGCUUCUGAAUUCCUGACCCACAGAAGCUGUGAGACAGAGUUCGUGAGGACGGCUCAGCUCUCACACGGAAAAUGUAUGCCCAUGUGUUCUUAAUGGAGUCAAAAGGAGAGGAGAGUGCUCAGUUGCCCAGUUGCCCUGAAAUGUCCUGUUGUUUUAACAUAAUGACCAGUCCAUCUGGCAUUCGUUCAUUCAAAAACCAUUUCUUAAAGGAGAUGGAGGAGGAAACCAAUGUGAACCAAGCACUUCCUUCCAGGGGACCUGGUGCUCCCUCUGUGCAGGUGUUGGGAGGCUGGAACGAUAGGGCAGGCCCUGCCCCGGGGGGCUUCCAGGGGGAACAGCCACUGGAGGCUGUGGACCUCCAGUAUCGAAAUCACCGAGUCCAUGUGUUAACAAUGUCCGUGUGUUAACAAUAUCCGUGUGUUAACCAUAAAAUUCCCGAGUGUGGCCCUAAUCUAAUUUUAUGGCAUGCUCCACAGAAACACUGGACUG